GAUGAACGCUGGCGGCGUGCCUAAUACAUGCAAGUCGAGCGAACGGACGAGAAGCUUGCUUCUCUGAUGUUAGCGGCGGACGGGUGAGUAACACGUGGAUAACCUACCUAUAAGACUGGGAUAACUUCGGGAAACCGGAGCUAAUACCGGAUAAUAUUUUGAACCGCAUGGUUCAAAAGUGAAAGACGGUCUUGCUGUCACCUAUAGAUGGAUCCGCGCUGCAUUAGCUAGUUGGUAAGGUAACGGCUUACCAAGGCAACGAUGCAUAGCCGACCUGAGAGGGUGAUCGGCCACACUGGAACUGAGACACGGUCCAGACUCCUACGGGAGGCAGCAGUAGGGAAUCUUCCGCAAUGGGCGAAAGCCUGACGGAGCCACGCCGCGUGAGUGAUGAAGGUCUUCCGAUCGUAAAACUCUGUUAUUAGGGAAGAACAUAUGUGUAAGUAACUGUGCACAUCUUGACGGUACCUAAUCAGAAAGCCACGGCUAACUACGUGCCAGCAGCCGCGGUAAUACGUAGGUGGCAAGCGUUAUCCGGAAUUAUUGGGCGUAAAGCGCGCGUAGGCGGUUUUUUAAGUCUGAUGUGAAAGCCCACGGCUCUUUCGUGGAGGGUCAUUGGAAACUGGAAAGCUUGAGUGCAGAAGAGGAAAGUGGAAUUCCAUGUGUAGCGGUGAAAUGCGCAGAGAUAUGGAGGAACACCAGUGGCGAAAGCGACUUUCUGGUCUGUAACUGACGCUGAUGUGCGAAAGCGUGGGGAUCAAACAGGAUUAGAUACCCUGGUAGUCCACGCCGUAAACGAUGAGUGCUAAGUGUUAGGGGGUUUCCGCCCCUUAGUGCUGCAGCUAACGCAUUAAGCACUCCGCCUGGGGAGUACGACCGCAAGGUUGAAACUCAAGGGAAUUGACGGGGACCCGCACAAGCGGUGGAGCAUGUGGUUUAAUUCGAAGCAACGCGAAGAACCUUACCAAAUCUUGACAUCCUUUGACAACUCUAGAGAUAGAGCCUUCCCCUUCGGGGGACAAAGUGACAGGUGGUGCAUGGUUGUCGUCAGCUCGUGUCGUGAGAUGUUGGGUUAAGUCCCGCAACGAGCGCAACCCUUAAGCUUAGUUGCCAUCAUUAAGUUGGGCACUCUAAGUUGACUGCCGGUGACAAACCGGAGGAAGGUGGGGAUGACGUCAAAUCAUCAUGCCCCUUAUGAUUUGGGCUACACACGUGCUACAAUGGACAAUACAAAGGGCAGCGAAACCGCGAGGUCAAGCAAAUCCCAUAAAGUUGUUCUCAGUUCGGAUUGUAGUCUGCAACUCGACUACAUGAAGCUGGAAUCGCUAGUAAUCGUAGAUCAGCAUGCUACGGUGAAUACGUUCCCGGGUCU
rnacentral:rRNA from 1 species